GUCCACGCUGUAAACGAUGAGCACUAGGUGUCGCGGGUAUUGACCCCUGCGGUGCCGACGCUAACGCAUUAAGUGCUCCGCCUGGGGAGUACGGUCGCAAGAUUAAAACUCAAAGGAAUUGACGGGGGCCCGCACAAGCGGUGGAGCAUGUGGUUCAAUUCGACGCAACGCGCAGAACCUUACCCGGGCUAGACAACGGUGGACCGCCUCAGAGAUGAGGCUUUUCCUUCGGGAACCACCGGUUCAGGUGCUGCAUGGCUGUCGU
rnacentral:rRNA from 1 species